rnacentral:rRNA from 1 species
CGACUCUCGACAACGGAUAUCUCGGCUCUCGCAUCGAUGAAGAACGUAGCGAAAUGCGAUACUUGGUGUGAAUUGCAGAAUCCCGUGAACCAUCGAGUCUUUGAACGCAAGUUGCGCCCGAAGCCAAUAGGCCGAGGGCACGUCUGCCUGGGUGUCACAC